rnacentral:lncRNA from 10 species
CUUGAACCCAGGAGGCAGAUGUUGCAGUGAGCCGAGAUCAUGCCCCUGCUCUUCAGCCUGGGCCAUGUAGCAAGACCUUGUCUCAAACAACAACAGAUAACCACAGCAUAGAAUAUCCAAUGCAGCCUGUCUUUAAUGUCCUCUCAUACCAUGCUUUCCUAUAUACCUCAUGAUAUAACUACACUAACCUACUUUCUGUGAUCAGACCUACCAAACUCAGGUAUGCUUAGACUCGCUGCUUCUCCCUGGAAUGUUAAUUCUCUGCUUGGCAAACCCUUGUACCUUUGUUAAGACCUUGAUUAAAAGUUACCUCUCUGACGCCUUCUCCAUUCCAACAAGCAUUAGAAGCCUCCUCUUCAUUCCCCUGGGCAAUUUCACCUACUGCCUUCCUCUUUGGUGCCAUGUAUCACAUUAAUUUAUUUUUCUAAUUUUUUUCCAGAAUUUCAUUUUUCAUGUAUAUGUGGCAAUGUAUUUUAUUUUUAAACUUUUAAUUUUUAAUUGUUGUGGGUACAGAGUAGGUAUAUAUAUUCAGAGGAUACAUGAGAUGUUUUGAUACAGACAUCACAUAAUUUAUGACCAUCCAUUUAGAAGCCUGUUUUGCUUGCUCACAAAGCUUGGUUUUCUCAGGGCAGGGCUGUGUACACCUACAUAUCUACAUGUCCCUAGAAUAAUACCUCUAACACAGCCAGUAUGCGAUGAGUACAUGUUGAACAAAGACGUUAAUGGAUAAGUAAAUAGAACCUACAUGGCAUCAGUCCACAUUCGUUUUUUACUUUUCUAAGUUUUUUCCCCUCUGAAAUCUGUAAGUGUGCUUAAUCUCUGCCUCUGCUUUUUUGUUAUUGUUUCUGUUUAGAGGAGUCACAGAGGGAUCCUAGUGAAGAGGAUUAUAACUUUGCCUGUUUUGUGAUGCGGAGGUGAUGUCAUGUUGUUCUACCAUUUUAUCAUUGUUCCUUCUGAGCCUGAGUGUUCUUUCUCUUGAAGAUUCAAGUGAACCAGGGAAGGAGAAUGACAUCAGACUGGGCUUGUGCCUGAUAAUUCAUUUCUGAAGUGCUUCAAGAUUGACGCAUCAGAUUUGCACAAUGUGCCACUUUAGGAGAUUAUUUCUUCCUUCCUUCAGCCAGACAGAAGACUGCAGUAGGGAUAUGGUUCCUGUUUGCCUAUUUCCAUCCACAACUCUGCCAGAGACGAAAGCAGUGUUUGAAACAAUUCACCAAGAUUUCCAUCUGGAAUCAUCAAGAAUGGAAUUGAUCAAAUUCCUUAAGAAAUUUACUUAAAGUCAUGAUUUUGACAGCCUAGUGCUACCUGGAAAAGGGACAGCAGCAGCCUGGAGCAGUUUUCUAGCUAACAAGAAUUUUGUUAGCUAUGUGGCCACCUAGUGGCUCUUCCAUGGAUGUCGCUGAUGCAUUGUCAGGUACACAGACAAUUGCCCACUAAUAAAGAAG